UUUGGGUGUCCAACUACUCUCAGCUAUUCUUGAUAGUUCUUGUACGGAUAGAGAUACUCCACCAUCCAAACAGAUUAGAAUAUUUGUAAAUAACUUUCAACCCCAUGUGACUCUACUGUGUUUCGAAGGACUGAGCUCAAUGGUAAAAAGAAAAAAGUCUGCCCCCGAGGACAACAUCCCCUCAUCCUUCGCAGGGUCUUCUUCCCCAAAUCACCCGAGUCGUCCUCGCACAGCUGGGAGAGAAUCCCCCCACAGUGAACCAAAGACUCACCCGUACUCGACCUCUAUCUCCCUCUCUGCAAUACCAUUUCAUGUCUCUCCCUUUCUCUCUGUGUCCACAAUGUAGUACGCGAACCUGAUGAGUUGGGAAUCGAAUCUCUCCAUCGUGAUUCGCUGCUCCCUCACCGAACGCGUGCUCCAUGCUCCAUCCCAUCUCUACUGAACGAUUUCGAUAUCACUGGGUUUUGGCAGGGUAUUUUGUCUGAGGAAGAUUCGAUUCCUCAACCCGUGCCCCUAGAAUCCCACAUUUUCCUGAUAACUAUAAACCACCCAUGGCCAAAGCCACAUUACGUACCAGCCAAUCGAAGUCUAGGGUUCGAAAGCAACAACACUCAAGAUUUCAUCCCACCACAUUAUUCAUCACGGGGCCUCAGACGUGAUCCUUUAAGCGAUACUAUCUCAGAUCUUCAACGCAUGCUUCGAGGGAGAAUGGAUGUUGGGAAUGAGUCAGAUGAUGAACCGUAAGUAGAGGCAAAUAACCCCACCGAAGCUGGCUCAAGUGGUAACCAACCUCCAAGCCAUGACGAUUACAAAGCUUGGCGGAGACGUGGAGCAUCUAGUAGUAACUAGCCUCCAAUGUGGGACGAAUACCUACGUACGAGGAUGCGUGAUGAUUCGAUUUGGGAUAACAUGUUUAUGUUUACAAUCGCAGCAGCAGAGGAGAGCGCAUUGCCAGUGUUUGAGCGAAUGCCAGAACACAAUAUCGGCUUACGUGGACGAGACUAUAUAAUUGCAAUUCUCAAUGGACAUCCGAAUAACUGUUGGAACUUAUUUCGGAUGGAGAUAUAUGCAUUUGAAGCGUUAUGCAAUACAUUGCGGGCGAAUGAAUAUCUAACAUCAACAAGAGAGGUUUCUGUGGAGGAAGCUUUGGCAAUGUUUACAUACACAGUCGCACAUGCCAAAGUUCAACAAAUCACAGCCGACCGAUUUCAACACUCUACUGAAACAGUUAAUCGGCAUGUGUAUGUAGUGAUGGUUGCCCUAUGUAAUAUUGCUCUUGAUGUAAUUGCACCUACACAUACUACUGGGGUAGCACCAUAUAUUCAAGGCAAUCCAAAACAUUAUCCAUGGUUUGAGAAAUGUAUUGGUGCAAUUAACGGUACUUAUAUCGAUGCAGUGUGCCUGCCGAGGCAACUAACGCGUAUCUGUCUCGUCAUCAACAAGUUAGCCAAAAUGUACUGGCAGCCUGUGAUUUCGACAUGAAAUUCACAUUCAUAUACGUUCUGGGAAGGCACUGCCCAUGAUGCACGCCUAUUUAUGGAUGCAUUGAGUCGUCCAGGAAUCGAUUUCCCAUUGCCUCCUGAGGGAUUCCCACCUUCAAAAUUUGGAAACUCCAUGCGGACUCCCCUGUGAAAGUUCCUCCAUCCCUCAUGAAGUUCUAGCUCACGUUCAUUAUGCUGCUCUCGUUGAUGAGUCUGGUUGGCCACAACAGUCCUCAUCAUAUCAGCCAUUUGACCAAGUUGUUCCUGAAUUUCCUGGAGCUGCUCUUCAUGGGUGUCGACCUGUUGUUGCAGAAGUUCUUGGUGGUGCUUGGACCGUGUUCCAUCAGCCAUUGGAUCGGCUGUCUUUGGUACCAAUUUGUUAGGGUGCUGUUGAGGCUAGAGGUAAAUACAGCAACACAAUGAGGUUGAGCUUUCUGCUUUGGGAAUGGCAACAACUGACUCUCUGAUAGACACUGUUGCAACAACUGCACCAGAGGGGUGAUUAUUAGAUAGUCGUCCCAGAGUAGGGACACACGGUACUCCUUUCCAUCCCGGACCGGACCGAGUAAUGUUUUCAGGUUCCGGACUGGGCCAAGAAAAAAUUCGGCUCCGAUGAACAGUCCUAAAUUGGUGCUGUCGAUAGUAAUGGUCUAAUUUUCUAUUUUUUGUCUGAAAAUGUAUUUUCUAGGAAUCAAAGCUUGUUAGCAAUGCUAUCAUUUUUGCGAAAC